rnacentral:sRNA from 12 species
GCUUUCAACAUCCCCGUUCCGGGGUGCGGCUUUUCUUCUCAGAGGAGCUUCACGGCCGGCGCUGAAGGC